GCCGGGGUGGCGGAAUUGGCAGACGCGGUGGCCUUAGAAGCCACCGUCCGGAAGGACGUGCAGGUUCGAGUCCUGUCCCCGGCAC
rnacentral:tRNA from 1 species